GACACACGACAUGUCUAAUUUUAUGACACCAGUUUGGCAGAAACAUAACCUUAAAACAGUUUCUGUCACAUAUCCAACCAAUAUUCGUUUUUCCUUGCUGCAGUGUAAUACAGUUAAAUCCAUAAGGUUGUAACCACUCGUUAAAUUGUAAGGUUGGCAUUACAGCCAAUGGUGUUUUUCACAUAAACAGAUUGGUAGCGGCGCAUAUGUCAAAAUUUGACAAUUACGCACGAGAGAGUUUUAUUUAAAUAUCUCACAGUUUGUUAUUAAACCAUACCAUUGAAAAAUGGUACCGACACGGCAUAUUGUGGUAAAUAAGCAGAUGAAAAUGGCACUUGCCAACUGCCACAAUGAAUUGAAACUUGCUUAUCCCCAAGCAUCCUCCCGAGAACUUGAAUUCAAGCUUGUAAAAAUCUUUUCAGUAUGUAGUUAUUCUUAUACCAUGGAAAGAGAGUACUAUACUAUGAGAGUAACGUAUCGACAUUCGGAACUUUUUUCAUGUUAUUACAACAUGGUGUACAACAUUGUCUUUUCAAGUUUUAUACCCACUCUUUAUAUCCUACACAAUACAACUAAAUGUCCCUCAUUAAAUUCAAGCACUGCAUACUUUCCCUGUAAACUUAUCAUUAAUUCCUAUCCUUUCCAUAGUGUUCUCGAUGUCAAGCCCACAAAAUUAUAACCCAACACCAAUCUGGAGAACCGUUACAAGAAGCAAAGUGGAAACCAAAACAAAAAUCGCAGUGGUAUUCAAAUUUGGAACUUAAAGAAGAUCUAACCUACCGUAUAUUUGACAAAAACAAAAAAAAUGAGUUUUUUACUCUUCAGGAUUUGUUUAUUUUUGCGAAAGAACAUCCAGAAUAUACAGCAAGUUUAAAUACUUUACGUUGAGUAUUAAAAUCCAUGGGAUUCAGAUUUAAGAAAGUUAACAACAGAAAAAUAAUUGCUUUUUGGUUAUUUGGUCUAUGUGUUCCCAAUGUUUCUAACCACUCCUGUAACAGUAAGUUUAAAUAAGCCGUCAAAUUAUUUUCAACAUACCUAUUAUUUUAGCCUCUGAAUUUUGUGAAGUUACAUUUUGUUCAUUAUUACCACUAAAAUCGUCAGGACGGAGGAGCAUAGCCAGACCUAUCGCCUUCAACCAAAUCCCUUGUACAUUUUGUAAAUAAUAAGUAGUACCAAAUAUUAGAGUUAUUAAACAUAACAUUAAAGACUU